rnacentral:rRNA from 1 species
GACGAACGCUGGCGGCGUGCCUAAUACAUGCAAGUCGGACGCUGAAGGAGGAGCUUGCUUCUCUGGAUGAGUUGCGAACGGGUGAGUAACGCGUAGGUAACCUGCCUGGUAGCGGGGGAUAACUAUUGGAAACGAUAGCUAAUACCGCAUAAUAGUAGAUGUUGCAUGACAUUUGCUUAAAAGGUGCAAUUGCAUCACUACCAGAUGGACCUGCGUUGUAUUAGCUAGUUGGUGGGGUAACGGCUCACCAAGGCGACGAUACAUAGCCGACCUGAGAGGGUGAUCGGCCACACUGGGACUGAGACACGGCCCAGACUCCUACGGGAGGCAGCAGUAGGGAAUCUUCGGCAAUGGACGGAAGUCUGACCGAGCAACGCCGCGGGAGUGAAGAAGGGUUUCGGAUCGUAAAGCUCGGUUGUAAGAGAAGAACGAGUGUGAGAGUGGAAAGUUCACACUGUGACGGUAGCUUACCAGAAAGGGACGGCUAACUACGUG